AAAAUUAACGAAAAAAUGUAUCACGUAAAACAUUAUGAAUAUUGUAAAAAAUAAAAGUGUGCUAUUUAGGUGAGCGCCACUUUAUAUGUAUGUAUG